GCGAUACCGGUCUUUCCGGCAUGAACACUCGCGACACGAUGCCAAGUGUAUUCUGUUGAGUGAUUUUUAUGCGUAUUUAAUUCAACAACGAUUAUAAUGGACGACGUUGUAGAGUUGGACGAUUGCGAUCACAAAGAAAAAAGAGCGCAUUUCCAAGCGCCGGCAAUUCAACAUAAUCCUGACGGCUGGGGCCCAUGUGAAUUGCCAGAUCAAUUUAAAGAUAUUCCUUAUCAACCAUUUUCCAAAGGCGACAGGCUAGGAAAAAUCUGCGAUUGGACUGCACCAGCAUUCCAAGAUAAGAAAUUUCCAAACAAAUAUACUUCUCAAUUUGGCUCAGGAAGUCAAUAUGCUUACUAUCAUGAUGAAGAUGAAAGCACUUUCCAUCUUGUGGAUACUACCAGAGUGCAGAAGCCGCCUUAUCAACGUGGCAGGUUCAGGCACAACCAGCGUAAUUUGCGUGGACGUGGAGGCCAGCGUGGUGCUUUGAGUCAAAUGCAACAGCUAGGUAAAUUGAAGCUACGCGAGCGCGAACGCAAAGGACAAACAAAACGUUGGGGUAGGCAGCAGGGAUUAAGAAAUCACAAGAAUCAACCACCCAUUAAGAUUCGAGAUGCUUCUGUCACUGUACGACCUGAUUGGGUGACUAUAGAAGAGAUGGAUUUCCCUAGAUUAGCUAAACUAUCAUUACCUAGCGUUAAAGACGGAGAAGAUAUACUCUGUUGUGGAUCUCUAGAGUAUUACGAUAAAACUUAUGACAGAGUAAAUGUUAAAAAUGAGAAACCAUUGCAAAGAAUCGACCGUAUCUUCCAUACCGUUACUACUACCGAUGAUCCUAUUAUCCGUAAACUAUCGAAAACCGAGGGCAACGUCUAUGCCACUGAUGCCAUACUCGCUACUAUUAUGUGCUGCACUCGUAGUAAUUAUUCAUGGGAUAUAGUGAUUGAAAAAAUCGGAGACAAGCUUUUCUUUGAUAAACGAGAUAAUACAGAAUUCGACCUUUUAACUGUAAACGAAACUAGCGUGGAACCACCGCAGGAUGACGGGAAUUCAUUAAAUUCUCCAAGAAACCUGGCAUUAGAGGCCACAUUUAUUAAUCAUAAUUUCUCGCAGCAAGUGCUUAAAUCCAACGAACCACGUCACAAAUUUGACGAAGGAAAUCCUUUUAUCUCCGAAGAGGAAGAGAGUGAUGUAGCCAGCGUUGCUUAUCGCUAUCGUAAAUGGGAUCUUAAUAAUGGUAUUGUUUUAGUUGCUCGAUGUGAACACGAUGCCGUGAUGCAAGGCCCAAAUAACGAAACACAAUUUCUAACUAUUAAAGCAUUGAACGAAUGGGAUUCUAAACUUGCAAAUGGUGUUGAAUGGCGCCAAAAGUUGGAUACCCAACGUGGUGCAGUAUUAGCUAAUGAACUUAGAAAUAAUGCUUGCAAAUUAGCCAAGUGGACUGUUCAAGCAAUAUUAGCUGGAUCGGAUCAAUUGAAAUUUGGAUACGUUUCACGUGCUAUCGUACGUGAUUCUAGCAAACAUGUAAUUCUUGGUACUCAACAAUAUAAGCCCAAUGAAUUUGCCACUCAAAUUAAUUUGAAUAUGGAUAAUGCUUGGGGUAUACUGAGAUGUAUUAUUGACAUUUGUAUGAAGCAAAAGGAUGGAAAAUAUUUGAUUAUGAAGGAUCCUAAUAAGCCGAUGAUUCGUUUGUACGAUAUACCUGACAAUACUUUUGAGAGCGAAGGAGAAGAAGAUGAAGAUGAAGAUGAACCUACGAACGACGCAUUCCAAAGUUAACAGAAGAGAACAGCGAUCGUCCGAGGAACCUUAUAUAUCGUGAAUCAUUUCGUCAACCAGUUACAAGUGCGCGCCUAGUAAAUGGCGUGUUUUUAUUCGAAUCUUCGAAGUAAUUUAUAUCGAAUGAUCAAAUUCCAUCAUUGUUGUCAGGACAAAAGGAUCCUCAUAAAAGUUUAUGUCGAUGAUUUGUUUACAUCCAUACAUUUAAUAAUAUAUGUGAUUUUACGUAUAACUGCUUCCACCAUCGCGUCAGUAAUUUCAUGGUACAAAACAAAUCUAACCAUCGUACUCGUUAGAGGUAAACAUUUUAUUAUUAUUUUAUCAUCCUCCUCAUCUUCUUGAACUUGCUGAAGUCUUUCUGCAAAAUUUAUUGAAGUAAUAAAUUUCGAAUGUAUAUUUAUAAAAACUAUAUUUGUCUGUACAGUUUUCUCAUCGACGGUAAAUAUUUCGGAGUUUAAAUUAUUGAUCGCUCGUGCGAUAAGGGCUGCUCUUUUAUGGUCUUCUUUCAACAAAGGUACGAUUUCCUCUAGAGCCACGAGUCCAGCGGCCGCAAUAAUACCAACUUGUCUCAUUCCUCCACCUAAAACCUUUCGUAUUCUUCUAGCUUUUUUAAUGAAACAUUUAUCUCCGCAUAAUAUGGAACCAAUCGGUGCCCCCAAACCUUUGCUUAAACAAAACGUGACAGAAUCGAAUACAGACACAAGAUCCUUAGCCGAUACGUUAGAUGCCGUAACAACAUUCCAAAUUCUUGCUCCAUCCAAAUGCAAUUUAAGAUUACAAGAUUUGGCUAAUUCAGACAAUUUUAUAAUCCAAUCUUGUGGUACGAUCUUACCAUUAAUUGUAUUUUCUACAAUUACCAAUUUUGAGAUUGGUUCAUGCAAUCUGUCCUUACGAAGUUUAUUUCGAAGUAAUACUAGAUCGAAACUUCCAUCAGGAUUAUUUGGUAAAGGACAUAAAGUUACACCUCCUAAUUGAGCAGCGCCACCUUGCUCGUGUAAAACUGUAUGAGAAUCCUCACCGCAAUAAGCUUCGCUUCCACGUAUAUCACAAUGAGUCAUAACUGUAACCAAACGAUAGAUAAUCGAUAUUUUAAUUUGAUGUAUCUUUUUUUUUAUGUAAAACUAGACCUGUAGAUAUGUAUAUACAUACAUAUACAUAUAUAUGUAUAUACAGGAAAUAUAUAUACAUACAUAUACAUAUAUAUGUUAUACAGGAAAAAGACUACAGACUGGCAAUUAAAUUUCCCAUUGUUCCAGAAGUAACAAAAAGCGCAGCUUCUUUUCCCAUUAAUGUUGCAGCUUUUUCUUCUAGUUCUAAAAUAAUGAUAAUAUAUAACAAUAAUCAUAUAAUGUAAACCUUUAUAAAACGACUAAUAUUAAAAUACUUUUUACUGUC